rnacentral:lncRNA from 10 species
CGCGGUGGCUUACGCCUGUAAUCCCAGCACUCUAGGAGGCUGAGGUGGGCGGAUCACCUAAGGUCAGGAGUUCAAGACCAGCCUUGCCAACAUGGUGAAACCCCGUCUCUACAAAAAAAAACAGAAUUAGCCAGGCGGUGAUGGGCACCUGUGAUCCUAGCUACUCGGGAGGCUGAGGCAGGAGAACCACUUCAACCUGGGAGGCAGAGGUUCCAGUGAGCCAAGAUCACGCCAUUGCACUCCAGCCUGGGCAACAAAGUGAGAUUCUGUCUCAAAAAAAUAAAAAUAAAUAAAUAAAAUAAAAACGCAGAAGCCAAAGUGCACAUUAGAAACAAAAAAUAACUUCAUAAAAUAGGAUUAGCAUGACAAGAACAAACCAAAAGGUGUCUCGGAACUCAGAGUAUAUAGAGAUAGUACUCAUGAGAGUGGAUGGCAGAUACUAGGACAGAGCCUGGCACUUCUGCAUGGCAGCAUUUGGUGUCUCUGAAGAAAAGAACAGAACAAGUGGAGCGGAAGCAAUAUUCAGAAAUAUAGUUGAAUAAAGAUUCUGGUGGCCAAAGAAAGAACUGCAUGUACAGAUUGAAAGGGCUCAUCAUGUUCCAGAAAAACCUAUGAGAAAAGGGUUCUAUAAUUAGAUGCAUCCUGGCCAAAUGGUAAGUUACAAGGAUAAAAGCACAAACAAAAGCCAGUUACUUAGAAGAAAGGAAAAACCAGACUAGCCUUAUAGAAUGCUGGAAGGUAAUAGGGAGCUCUACAGGAGAAGAUUUUUAAUCCAAGAAUUUCUCC